rnacentral:rRNA from 1 species
GACAGAGGAUGCAAGCGUUAUCCGGAAUGAUUGGGCGUAAAGCGUCUGUAGGUGGCUUUUUAAGUCCGCCGUCAAAUCCCAGGGCUCAACCCUGGACAGGCGGUGGAAACUACCAAGCUGGAGUACGGUAGGGGGCAGAGGGAAUUUCCGGUGGGAGCAGUGAAAAUGCGUAGAGAUCGGAAAGAACACCAACGGCGAAAGCACUCUGCUGGGCCGACACUGACACUGAGAGACGAAAGCUAGGGGAGCGAAUGGGA